GCUGCUCGGAGAAGGAGGUAAUGCAGGGGGAGGGCCGAGGUACGUCUAGAGAGGAUAGGUUAGGAUUCAGCUGGCCAUCAUCCAUACAUUAGCUGCGGGAUCACAGGCUGAAGCUAGCAAUGCGGGAAGCAGUGGGAAUGAAAGUGGAGGUGCAGGAUCUGGGCCUGGGUCAGAGACCCACCAAGAGGACUUGGAUUGAGGGUGGCUGGAGGAUGAGCCGUGAGCUGUUCUCAGUACUGCAUCAAAUGCGAUACCUGUUAUGAAAUUCAGUAAAAAGGACUGCUGUUCAAAAUAAUUGCUGAGCUCAUUAGUUUUAGUUACUUCUCAGAUAGCUGGGGAGAGACUGUGGAUAUGGUAGGAGUUGCAUUCCGAUAAAAAUCAAAUCAUACCAAGGAAAUGCACAUGUCUGAACUCGAGGUUAUAUACACAGCAUUUUGUUUAUUACUUAAGAAACCAUGUUGUAUCUUCAUUUUCUUUUUAUUCAUUUUUUUUAUACUUGUUAUCAAAGGUGGUGUACUUGUCGGAUUUAUUUUUGUACAAGUUUUAUAUACGGCUGUCUGAACUGGUUAUUAUUUACA